UACGUAGGGUGCAAGCGUUGUCCGGAAUUAUUGGGCGUAAAGAGCUCGUAGGCGGUCUGUCGCGUCGGCUGUGAAAACCUGGGGCUCAACUCCGGGCCUGCAGCCGAUACGGGCAGACUAGAAUUCGGUAGGGGAGACUGGAAUUCCUGGUGUAGCGGUGAAAUGCGCAGAUAUCAGGAAGAACACCCGUGGCUAAGGCGGCUCUCUAGUACGGUACUGACGCUGAGACGCGAAAGCGUGGGGAGCGAACAGG
rnacentral:rRNA from 1 species